GCAAACUUGGUCAUUUAGAGGAAGUAAAAGUCGUAACAAGGUCUCCGUAGGUGAACCUGCGGAGGGAUCAUUACCGAUUGGAACGCCCCCCCGCCCGUCGGGGGCGGCAGCCCGGGGGGAAAAGACGCGUCUCCUCGCGGGGCGCGGCCUCCGGGUCCUCCAUUCUCACCCCAUGUGUCCCGACCCGUUGCUUCGGGGGCCACCCCGCCUCGCGGCGGGGGCCCCCGGUGGCUCCAAUUUCAAAACUCGCACAACCCACGCGUCCGAGUCAAACGUAAAUCGUACAAAACUUUCAACAACGGAUCUCUUGGUUCUGGCAUCGAUGAAGAACGCAGC
rnacentral:misc_RNA from 1 species